rnacentral:rRNA from 1 species
AACGGCCAUACCAUGCUGAAUAUACCGGUUCUUGUUAGAUCACCGAAGUCAAGAAUCAUUGGGCGCGGUCAGUACUUGGGUGGAUGACCCACCUGGGAACACUGCGUGCCGUU